GCGCCUCCUGUUUGAGUGAAUGGACCGAGAGCUCUGAGAGGUUGCGGUUUGACCUGAAGUGUGGACGUCCAACUAGAGUCUGCGAGUCAGGAACUACUGGAAACCACUUAGUUCAUGAUGCGACAUUAUUCAAAUAAAGAGUUUUGAAACAUUGAA